CUUUCAAUUUUAUUUUACACAGGAAGUUCUCUGAUCUUACAGUCAGGCACUUGUCUUUAAAAAGAAAAUCCCUUAAAUGAAUACCAGAGCCACAAAAUCAGAAAUGUUACAUGCAAGAGACUAUCCUAGAUCUGUCUGGCGCCUUGGCUUAUCUGGUUUCAUGUGUUCAGUCCCCACCAGCCGCUGCCGAUUGCAAGCUUUUUCCAGGCGUUUUUUAUUUGUAAUCCGUUUAACGAAAGACUAAAGCCACCCAGGUCUACAGAUAGAACCGAGAGCAGAUUUUCCCACCCCAGCUGUGCGUGCUCCUCUGGGACGGGCUCCCUGGCUGCCUCGCCACCCUUGGCCACUGAGGGGAGGAGGCGCGAGGCUGAGAGAGUGAAGAGGUUGCUGUGCUCGCUGCUCCAGGCAGAGUCCAGGACCAUCUUCGGCGCUGAUUUAGAAGGGGCAGAAGGGCCAGAGCCUGGCUGGGAGUUGUCCCGCAGCCUUUGAACACUGCAGCUAUUCCCCGAGGGCCAGCGCAUCCGGCGAGGUGGAGCAACGCGGCUUCCAGCCGGGACACAGCACUCGGUGGCUGGAGAGAAGUUCUGCUGGGUCAGGCUGCCCCGUGGAGAGAGCGGGUGCAUCCAUUUUCCAGCAGGAUGUUUACACUGCGAUGGUGCCCAGGUCCUCAGGAUGAAGGCGCUACCCAGAGUCCCAGCCACCGCAGAGGCACAGAGCGCUGGGCUGAGAGCAGAGCGUCUGCGCCAUCUUGUGGGCAAACUGGAAACUGCACCUGCCCGUACCCACCCGAAUGCCCA
rnacentral:lncRNA from 1 species